rnacentral:rRNA from 1 species
GCAACGAUGGGGGCCCGCUUAAUACAUGCAAGUCCACCCGACCAAGAGAAAGCCUAGCUUUCUUCAGGUUAGCGGCGGACGGGUGAGUAACACGUGGGUAACCUGCCCUAUAGACUGGGAUAACUCGCGGAAACGCGUGCUAAUACCGGAUAACACAUCAAAGUGCAUGCUUUGAUGUUGAAAGAUGGUUCUGCUAUCACUAUAGGAUGGGCCCGCGGCGCAUUAGCUUGUUGGUGGGGUAACGGCCUACCAAGGCGACGAUGCGUAGCCGACCUGAGAGGGUGAUCGGCCACACUGGGACUGAGACACGGCCCAGACUCCUACGGGAGGCAGCAGUAGGGAAUCUUCCACAAUGGGCGAAAGCCUGAUGGAGCAACGCCGCGUGAGCGAAGAAGGUCUUCGGAUCGUAAAGCUCUGUUGUAAGGGAAGAACAAGUGCAGUAGUAACUGGCUGCACCUUGACGGUACCUUACUAGAAAGCCACGGCUAACUACGUGCCAGCAGCCGCGGUAAUACGUAGGUGGCAAGCGUUGUCCGGAAUUAUUGGGCGUAAAGUGGCAUGGUUGUCGUCAGCUCGUGUCGUGAGAUGUUGGGUUAAGUCCCGCAACGAGCGCAACCCUUGUCCUUAGUUGCCAUCAUUCAGUUGGGCACUCUAAGGAGNCUGCCGUACAAAUACGGAGGAAGGUGGGGAUGACGUCAAAUCAUCAUGCCCCUUAUGACCUGGGCUACACACGUGCUACAAUGGACGGUACAAACGGUCGCGAAGUCGCGAGACGGAGCCAAUCCGAAAAAACCGUUCUCAGUUCGGAUUGCAGGCUGCAACUCGCCUGCAUGAAGCCGGAAUCGCUAGUAAUCGCGGAUCAGCAUGCCGNGGNNAAUACGUUCCCGGGCCUUGUACACACCGCCCGUCACACCNCNAGAGUCUGUNGGAAAACGAAGUCGCUUUUNUCUUCCCANAAGNNAAACCACCCNCCNANUNG